rnacentral:misc_RNA from 1 species
GUUUUAGAAGAUUCGGCAUCACGAAUGAAAUGACCAAAACCCCUCGCCCUUUUAACUAUAAUUCCCUCUGUUCAAUCAAUACAACACCUUUACUUGAGCUGGUGCUGCUACAAGCAAUUCCACCCCCGAGCUCUGGUUUCUCGCAAAACCAGUUGAAGAAACAGUAAGUUCUCUCUUCUUUGAAUGGUAAAAAGUGCAAAGAGUAUAUUUUUUUUUCUUUUCACUUACUUCAGCUUUCGGUUAUUAAAGAUUCUCUCUUUGCUUGUGUAUUUGAACUUUACUUUUGAUUGACGGAGUUGUUACUGAUCUGGUUGUACUGAAAUAGGAGUAUCAGUGUUGGUUUCACUUCUGGAGGUCAUCUUUGGUUCCAUUUGGUUUCUGGGUUAGUUCUUUUCACUUCUGUGGUUCAUCUAUGCUGACGAAUUGAAGCUGUUUAUGGGUUAUUAAUAGAAAGAUGAUCGAGUUCAACGCAAGUGCAUUUGGCCAUUUGAGGCCCUUUUGCACGAGGGUUUUCAGUUUUGGCAAGGGAAUAAUAAAGCGUCACUGUAGAUUCUGGAUCUUUCCAUCAUUCAAUUGGGUUAUUGUAGUUGGGUCAUUUUUAACAUUUCUUUUAGGCAUGGCAUGUGCAUAUUUGUUUCUGUUCUCCAGAUUUCAGCCAGAUAUUCAUAGUUAUGAGAUUCCUAAGUCCAAUAGUUCAGUUAACGAGUGCAAUGUUUAUAGAGGAAGUUGGAUCAAAGAUGAAAGUUACCCUCUGUAUAAUGCCUCACAAUGUCCUUUUGCUGAGCGUGGAUUUAAUUGCUUAGCUAAUGGGAGAAAAGAUAGAGGUUAUACAAAAUGGAGGUGGAAGCCAAAGAAUUGUGACAUACCAAGGUUUAAUAUGCAUCAAAUUCUUGAAAAAAUGCGUGGGAAACGGAUUGUUUUUGUUGGCGAUUCAUUGAGUAGAACACAGUGGGAGUCUUUGAUAUGUAUGCUCAUGACUGGUGUGGAGGAUAAGAGGAGUGUUUAUGAAGUCAAUGGGAAUAAGAUCACUAAACAAAUUAGGUUUUUAGGUGUAAGGUUUAGUUCAUUUGAUUUAAGAAUUGACUUUUACCGAUCAGUUUUCCUGGUGCAACCUGGCCCGACGCCAAGGCGUGCUCCUAAGAGGGUUAAAUCAAUACUUAAACUUGACAAGUUGGAUGAUAUUAGCAAUGAGUGGAUUGAUUCUGACGUGCUAAUAUUUAAUUCUGGGCACUGGUGGACACCAAGUAAACUUUUUGAAAUGUAAGUCGUCUACCUUUUCUUAUGUUUCUUAAAAUGCUAUCAUUUAUUUUCCCCUAUUCUAAACUUUGUUUUGCUGUGUAUUAAUUUCUAUAUUUAUCUCGUGAACUGUAAUGGAUGUUGAUAAAUGCAGGCAUCACAAAACUUUCAGUGCAUCCUCACAUCAUAUCAUCUUUUGCAAUUUCGUCAAUUAACAAGACAUUUUGGAAUCAUAAAUAUUUGGUUUCUAUUAGGAAGGUUCAGAUUACAGAUUUUCCAAGCAUAGCACAUCCUAAAGUUAUCCAGCUAGCUGUUGCACUGUCAACAUUUCUGUAUAUACAUGAUUGAUGACUGGUUGAAUGAAGGACUAGGAGUUUGCUUGUUAAGCUAUGGUAUUUUCUUAAAUGCAUAAAGAAUUAUGCAUUUUUUCCUGAUCAAUCAACUAGAGGAAAAUCUCUUUUGAUUUAGGUGGUCUUACAUAAAGCUAUGCAAGGAUAUGAACUCCAUUUCUUGGUGUUUUGAGCUUCUGCUUAUUUAAGUUUACGUCAUUUACCUGACCUGUAUGAAACUUCUUGUUAGUCUCCAGAGGUCUUCAGCUAGCUAAAAUUAUUUUGCUUUCUGCCUGAAUUGUAUCAUACAUAGUUUGUGCCAUCAAGUAGCAUAUCAGUUCCAACCCUUUUAUGUUUGAAGGAGAUUGCAGUAAUGCUCAAUUUAAACAAGUAUUAGAUGGCAAACUAUUUGAAGAUGUGUGGAAAAGAUUUGGUUUUGUGAAAUUAAGUGCAUGAAUAUCCAUCCAGGGACAUAUUAUUAACCCUCUCAUUCUCCAAUUUUGGCAAUGACCAUGCAUGUUUAUCUGUGUGGUUCUGUUCUGCUACCAUUCUGUUUGACAGUGAUUAAGUUACUGCUCAAAUUUUAAUGAACAUUGUCCAUUGUGACAUAUUUAGCUGUACAAAGUUAGCAAUUUUAUGCUGUUUUCUGUCUGCUGUAAUGAUGUGCACUUGGUGCCUUUGCUAGCUGUUCUGAUUAAUAAGAAGAAUAGUAGAUAUGAGAAUGUAUAGGAGAAUAUUUAGUAUCAAUAGGAAAUAACAUCGUAGUUGAUAAUCAGUCAAGAAUUCAAUAAUACAACAAAUCCUUUUCUCUCUAAUUCUUUCUAUCUCUCUCUAUUUUAUUUCUUCUUCUGCUGCAGGUUUGGGUCUUGGGAACUCUGUUACGUAACACUAGCUAAAAUAGUGAUUGGGAUAAGGAAAAGCUAUGACCAGAUAAAUAGUUUAUGAUAAGAAAAGGGUUGAUUAGAUUGUAUUGCAACUAAAAUUAUCCUUCUUAUCGUUGUGGAUGUCAACAUGGGAUGUCCAAAUUAUCCACCUAAUCAAAACAAAUAAUAUCUUCUUCUGAAAAAAAAAAUCAUAAUCUGGGGCAAAUUAUCUGGGAUUGUAUUCUUGUUAUCUCCCCUGUCAACCAAUCCAUAUGGAAUUGAUAUUAUAUGCAUCUGGGAUUAUUUGGAAUGGCAUGCUUCGUCAACAUUAUUGUAGUCUGUCCUCUAAGUUCGCUACAUAUUUAAACCAAGAGAAUUUUUGGCCCAAUGUUUGCAAAUAUGAAGUGCUCCUAACAUGUUUUUCAGACAG